AAAAAGACAAGCUUUGAUUCAUGGGCCAGAGGAUCAGUGAAUGGGGAAGACAGCCCGUGAAGACAGGGACCAAGUCUCUUAGUUGCCUCUACUGGUCUUGAAUGAAAGAACAAGGGAAUUUUUACGGUGUCAGAUCUGGUUCCUAGUGGCGGAAUGUGAACCUCAAGAGGACAGCCCCCCCCUUGUCUAAGGGCACUUGGCGUUGAAUGAAUGGAGAUGCUGCCUGCUGUUUCCCCAGGAUGCCCGCAACGGCUGCCUCGGUCCUGUGCUGGAAAAGGGCAGAACCUGAGGACUAGAGAAGUUCAGCAGUUAGCCCAAGAACGCAGCAGCAGAGCUGGGCCCAAGAUGGGGUUCUCUGCACUUCCUGUGAGAUCGGGCUGCUCCGUCCACCUGCCAGCCAUCGGGAGCUGUCCCAGGAUCCUCCCUGUGGAGAAGGCCCUCUGCGCUCGCAGGCCCUGUGGAGAAGCAGGAAGAUCCUCCCAGAAGAGCAGCCAGCGAAGCCUCCUCUCCUGCCACGGUCCCAAGUCCCCUCCUCACAGCUUCCCUCUGCAGAGCCAGCCCCCAGUGACCAGGUCUCCUCUCCCUGGGACCACUGGGACACCGCUUGGCAACUGACCUAUAUUCCUCUCCAGCGCUAUUUGCCGCCUGAG